UACGAGUGCCUCAAGCGUUAUCCGGAAUUAUUGGGCGUAAAGGGUGUGUAGGCGGUUAUAUUAGUCCCGUGUUAAAACCUUCGGCUUAACCGAAGAUCUGCAUGGGAGACGGUAUAACUAGAGGAUGCGAGAGGUGAAUAGAACUCAUAGUGUAGGGGUGAAAUCCGUUGAUAUUAUGGGGAAUACCAAAUGCGAAGGCAAUUCACUGGCGCACUCCUGACGCUGAAACACGAAAGCGUGGGUAGCGAAUGGG
rnacentral:rRNA from 1 species